ensembl:lncRNA
UUGUUGAGUCACAGCCUGAACCACUGAUUGAGCACCUGGGGAACAGACCUGGUCAGCACUGGGAGCACAGGUGAAGGCGAUUCAGCUAUGUGACCGGAUGGGGUGGAGCCUGGAUGCACCUCUCUUAGACCCCAUUUAAGGGCUGAGUGCCGCAGGAUGAGGUUUUCUGGUUGGAGAUCUCUCUUUUGUGGAGUUUCCCUGUGAGUGUAGAUCUUCAGAGACAGAGUCCCCUCAAGAGAAAAAAAAGGCAUAUAAAAAGGAAGCUGAAAUUCCUCAAGGAUAACGUUCUACAUGCUAGCAGGGAGGCAUCCCUACCAUGAGAAUAUUACAAAAAUAAAUCACAGGAAUGCAUUUCUACCAGGGUUCAGGAGUCCAAAAGGAAGAAAAAUCACUUAGAUUAGUUUGAAGCCCUUUGGAAAUGCAGUCGUCACUCAGCCUAGCAUGUGAUAAAGAAAACUAAUGUGUCCAAUGCAUCCUCUCUGGAAAGCUUGCUUGGUCUAAAUAUCGAUUGGUUUUACUACCAGCCAAGGAAAGGCAGCCACUCUCCAAUAACGCAGAAACUGUGCUUGUUUUAAGCAUCAAUUGUGACAACAUCAUUAAAAAAUCAGCAUCAUUACAACCACAAGGACCUUUUCCAUGUGAGAGCACAUAAAACAUUAGUAGUGAACUUCCGUCUGCUGACAUAUGUGUUGCACCCUCCAAAUGAACUGGAAAGAAGGUAGAAAGUAGAGGUUUAUCAGGCAUCAAGUUCAGCCAUCCAAAUAUCACAAUCCUCAUUUUUGUUGCUAGCUCUAUGCAAUUUUGAAAUGGUUUGUAAAUUUAAUUGUCGGUGUAUGGAGUGUAUGUAGGCCAUGCACAAGCAACAGCGCUGCUAGGAUUAAGCAGCUCUCUUUUUUUAGGCAAGUAGGUCUAACCUGCUUUGUUGGAAGCAAAAUGAACCUUUUUAAGUUCGGUUAUUGACACCAUCAAUGAACAAAGCAACGAAGCUGAUGUUGCAGCAGCAGAUGACUGAGCCAAGAUGCAACUGACUCCCCAUAGGCAGUAAUGAGCAUGACUUGUGAAGUAGUAAACUACUUGCCAAUGAAAAGCAAAAAUUGUUAUAAGUGAGACUUUACAGCUAGAAAAUAUUUUAGAAAAAUUAAUAGCAGUGAUCAUAUACCAAUGCAUAGUUAAUUACAUCAAUGUUGAGGCUCUAGCAAAAGGCUACCACUGCUUUUCCAGGAUCACUGGAUGGCAGCUGUACCUAUGAAUUGAAGCAGUGUGUCCAUAAAUUAAUGCCUAUUUAGCUUGGCGUAUUUGAUUUUUUUUUUCCUUAUUUGCUUUCCCGUAAACUCCUGUUUCAAAGAUUUAUGUCAGAGAGGCAAUUUUCUUCCCAGGAGAGUUAUCUUUUAGUCACAAAAGUAGGUCCCCAGAAUCACAGCUUAUUGCAACAGCACAGAAGAAUAAGUCAAGAGUUAUCACCAAGUACAGCCAAUUCAAAAAAAAUCAUUUUUUUCAUUUUGGAUUAUUUUUCAGUUCCAAAUCCAGUUUCUGAGUUAUGAUUAUGAGGCUCUCAGCUCUAGGCUCAGUUCUAACUAAAAUUUUCAAGAAAUCACAGGACUAUUGUGUUGAAAAGCCCUCUCAGAAAUUAAAGGAAAACAUACAGCUGUUGAGCUGAUGGCUUGGAAAUGCACCACGUAGCCCUCAUCGCAUGAAAUGUUAGCUCAAACUCACAAGUGUGCUCAAAUUACUCUUUGUCUGCUGGUGACCUCUGUCUUUUGAGCUUAACUCACCGUUGCAGAAGCCCAAAGGAGUAAUGUAUGGAGUCUGAAUGCUAGUGUACCUCUCUACCCUAUGUCAAGUAGAACAGUGUUCACCUUUACUACCUUAUGAAGGUGAAAACUAAGGACUUCUGGAAAAGUGAAAGUAUUCAAGCAGGAUUUUGAACAUUACCAGAAAGAGCUACUGGGAAAAAUUUGAUAGGUGCCGUGUGUAUGAACAAGAACAAGAGACUGGGAGCAUUAAUAAAAGCAUCAAUUAACAAGAACAUGCAAAGUGAGAGAUGUCAUCAGGCACCAAAUCAGUUAAUUAAGUCCAGAAAUGAAACUUAGAUAUUUCUUCUGUGGAUUACCUGCAUUCCUUUAUUCAUUGUUUUGAGCAGACUACAAGGUCUUCAUUCUACGUUGGAACUCCGUGGGGACAAUUCUUACGGGUUUUGACAGUGAGCAUCUAAACAGCACCACAGCACUGUGGGGCAUUCGAGGUGAAGUCAUUCUUAUUGAAGGAGCCAGCAUAAUUUCUCUGCACCAUUUAAAUCCAAACAAAUCCUAUUUUAAGCACUUUGGAAUGACUUGAGUGAUGCAAAGGCCUUUUCUUGGGCUUUCUGCCCGGGAGUGAAUUUCACCCUCAGUGAAUUAUUAUUAUUAUUAUUGGACUCUACUUAUGAAAACAUAAAGCAAAUAACCCAUGCAGAUAAUAUUAAAGCAGUGGGAAAUGGAAAUUCCUAGUAGACUGAAGAAUUAAGUAGGAAUUUUUAUACAAACCUUCUUUCUGUGCUACAGGAGGAUGCACUGGAUGACCUCUGGGUCUCCCUCGGUCUGACCAGCAACAGCUUCUUGAAAAAACUUUUUCAUAAAUACCCGAUAUAUCAGGCAUCAAGGCACACUUUUCUCUCUAUUUUUUUUCUCUUGAAAAAUACUGUAGGUCUAUUAUAUUUUCCCAUUUUUUUGCAAGUAUUUCCUGAGUCAGAAACGAUGAUAUCCUGAAGAUGAAGUGAUGGCAUUGUAGCAUUUUUCUUACGCCCCUGAUAAAAUCUACUAUUUCUGCUUUCAUGUAUAUGCGUGCAUCGCUAAGGAUCUAUUUUGUCCUCUAAGUUCUCUUUUCAUUGCAUCAAAAUACUCAAAUAUCUUGUCACCUUUUCUUGGACAUUACAGAUCCUUUUUGCUAGUGAUACAGUAUUUUCAAAAACAGUGUGCAACUCAGCUUUGAGGUUUUAGUGAUUUCUCCUCAGUCCCAAAAUACAUUUUCAUAUGUUGUUGCUGUGUUUUUCAUACGGAUCCCAAGUAAGGAGUACACAAAACAAGAACUUACUUUAAGCAUGGGAGCAAUCCCCAGGAAGUCAGCAGUAGCCUGAUGUAUACUGAAUGCCAAUGAUUCCCUUUAACUGUCCUUCAAAUGUGGGUUUCUCUCAAGCCUGGGGUUGAGUCUUUCUCUCUUCUCCCUCCUUCCCUCCCCCUUCUAGUUUUCAUAAUAAUCAAAAGUUGUGCCAUGGAGAAAAGGAAGGCCAAUGUUCACAGAUCAAAAUAGG